UGUAUAGCCUUGCAUUAUGAAAAGAGCACAGAACAGGAAGUUAGGACAUCUUGCUUUGAGGUCUAGAACAGCCAUCAACUAUAUGAUCUUGGGUGAGUCACUUCACCUCUCUGAACCUGUUUCCUCAAGAAAAAUAAGCAGAGUAGGCUGCCUGCGUGAUCUCAAGACAACACACUGUGCUAGAAUGAGUCUUACAGCAAGAGUUCAAAGUUCAAAUUCUAAUUCUAGAACUCGUUGAGUGUAAAAUUCACAGCAAGUCAUAGAACCUCUUGGAACCCCAGUUUCCACAUCUGGAAGAAGGGGCAGAAUAGUAUCAAAAAUGCUUCACUCCCAGGAAUGUGGUGAGCAUAAAAUUAAAUAAUGAAAAAGUCAACUAUAAAGCACUAAAUAAAUAUAAGAUGGUGAAUCUGACAGAGGAAGAAUUAAAUGACUUGUUCAAGGUCACCUUUGAGGAAUUUGCAGGAAGUUUAACUUAUGUAUAUUUUUCCCCUGUAGUACCCCAGAUGGAGUCUCACUCUGUCGCCCAGGCUGGAGUGCAGUGGC
rnacentral:lncRNA from 1 species